rnacentral:rRNA from 1 species
UGAACGCUGGCGGCAGGCUUAAUACAUGCAAGUCGAACGGUAAGGCCCGAAGUGGCAACACGGAAGGUACACGAGUGGCGCACGGGUGCGUAACGCGUAUGCAACCUGCCCCCAACCGGGACAAAACAGCGUGGAAACGGCUGCUAAUAUCCCAUGGUCAUCCGGGAGGGCAUCCUCCUGGAUGUAAAGAUUCAGUUGGUUGGGGAUGGGCAUGCGUAUUAUUAGGUAGUGGCGGGGUAACGGCCCACCAAGCCGACGAUGAUUAGGGGUCCUGAGAGGGUUAACCCCCACACUGGAACUGAGACACGGUCCAGACUCCUACGGGAGGCAGCAGUAGGGAAUAUUGGGCAAUGGAGGCAACUCUGACCCAGCCAUGCCGCGUGAAGGAAGACGGCCCUAUGGGUUGUAAACUUCUUUUGCCGCAGAGUAAACCCGUCCACGUGUGGGCGGCUGAGAGUAUGCGGCGAAUAAGUAUCGGCUAACUCCGUGCCAGCAGCGGC